CCGAGCCCUGCGGACGGACUGACACCGGCGCAGCAGCGGCACCUGGAUGGGGAGAGCUGCACAGACUGGCAGGGGAUUACACUUUAACCCAGUGCCUUCCUGCGAGCACUCCUAAGGCCACGACAAUGUUCUCCAGCCUUGUGUAUAUGGAUUUCAAAAGCUCUGUGUCUCCAAGUAACGCUUCAGCAUCCUUUGUGAUGGGAUCCAUUGUGUGUGAGCAUCAUCGUCAGUCUCUAAGACAAGUUUUUUUUUAACUUUCAAUAUUUGCGAAGAGAUUGCUAGAUCUCAGUCCAGAGCUGCUCUGGGUGCAGAACUACUCCACUGAAGAGAUCGGUGAGCAGAGCAGCUGUAAAAUAUGGCCCAUAUUGAGGGCAUGUACUGUGUACUGAGGAGUGGGCAUUUAAACCAAUCUCCAUUGUAACAUAAUUGAUGAAAAGCACCUGCUGUCAGAUUCUCAGAUGGUAUAAAUCAGCAGACAUCUAUUGAUUUCAGUGGAGCUGCAGGAUGCUGAUUUGUACCAGCUGAGGAUCUGGCCCCUGAAUUUUUGUGAGUUCAGGUUCUGCAGACAGAUGAUUAUGAUCUGACAACACUGUAUUGCAACUCAUAUACUGCCACAUCAUGCCCAGAGAGUCCUGUGCUUUGGGAUCCCAUUCCGAAAGAGGGGGAGAAGCUUGGAUUCUGGUUAUGAUUCUUUAUAGUAAGAAGUAAGAAGAUAAACUUCUCUUGUUGCAUCUAUGCUUAAAUCCAGCCUUCCAACCAAGAGGUUAAAUUCUGUGUUCCUUAUUCAGACAAAACUCUCUUUGAGGUUUAUGGAAUUAAGAACCACAGAAUUUGUCUAAGAGCUGUUGGAUUAUACCCCAUUUCUUACCUCAAAAACUUUUUACUUUCAUUUCUGGAUUUUCUUUUUGUAGAGAUUGUUUCCUGCACGAAAAUGUGUGAUGGUUUUGUGAUGUGGAAAAAUGUUUACUGGGACUCGUUUAAAAUGACAUAUGGUAUUCCUUGCCUUUGUGAUCUAAGCCAAAUUUGAACCCAGGUAUUCAUUCCUCAUUUGAACACAGACAUUAUCUUGUUCUACAAUCUAAUCACUUAUACUCUUGUAUAACUUGUGCUGGAAGCACACUCUGGUAUUUUGGCUCUGAAAUGAUUUCAUUGUUAGGCUGUGUGUGACACAGAUGGUAUUCUUAAAUGUAAAAUUCUUUUUAUGAUUCUUGCAAUUUCAUACUUAUUUUAUUAGCUCAUUUAUUUAUAUUAAAGGGACAUUAUCAACUUGAAAUCUGCUUAGUUUAAAAAAAAAAAAAGGUUGAGAGUAGUUUUAGGUACCUGCCUCACAAUGUGCCAGUUUUUGUGGUUUCGCUACCACAUUUUUUUAUUUUAAAAAUGUUUUUGUAUCCCUAGCUGCAGUGUGACAGAGUCACACAAACAACAAGGGGAAAGAGUCUCAUUUAAGUGAUUAUAGGUGAGAAGCAGGGAAACUGACUAUGCGCAAAAUGCUGUGAAAUGCACAAAGUAAAGAAAAUGAAGAAGAUAAAAAUAAUUUCUUUUUGCCAAUUUCUUUUAGUUUGACUAAUGUUAGGUGUUACUUGUAAUAGCAGUAGGGAAACAAUUUUCAGAUAGAAACGUGAUUUCUAUCCAAAGCUGUCUCUUUAGUACACAAAUAUAGUUAUUAAAUAAACAUUAAUUAUGAUAGCUGCAAUUACUCAUUCAGAUCAAUAAUCAGAACCAGGAGUGAACCAAACCAUAGCAACUUUAUUUUCCCAUUAAAUAUGGUAUGAUUUAAAAUAAAUUCAGAUAGCCCUAAUCAUUCAGCCCCAUAUGCUGGAAAUGAAAAGUCACCUUAAACCCGAUGCAGACUGUGAAAAAAUGGGAGAAGAGAUGUUCAAAAGGUACAGCAUAUGAGGACAGAUCCUCAUAUGGUGUAAAUUCGUGCUGCUCUCUUGAAGAAGUCAACAAAGCUAUGCUGAUUUACCCCAGUUGAGGUCCUGGCCUGUCAUUUUUAAGUCCCAGGUGUUAUGGUGAGUUUGUCCAUGGGGUCAUAUACUGAUCCUAUUCAUUAAGGUAAAGUUGUGAAUGUGAUAUUUUUCAUUUAAAUCAGGACAAGAGAAGUAAAUGCUGUCAGGAAAAAUCUAGUUUGAGGAUUUUGUUUUCCCAGAAACUGGGGUCUGUUUGCCUGAAUUGUAUGGGGUUUUUGUUUUGUCCUGUCUGUGUUCAGUGGGCUGAAUCCUCCUCUGACUGACAUCCCUUGCAACCCCACUAAUUUUGAUGUCUGACAGGUCUGUUUUAAUCUGUUUAAUCUGUUGGAACUCCCACAGCAGGAUCUGUAGAAGAUUUUUCUUUCUGUCCCCUGUCUGAGGUGCAGACUCUAUUGUCUGUGUUUUGGGGAGCAGGGUUCCACUGUGUUAGAAAAUCUUUUUGGUUCAGGCCCAAGGAAAAAGUGAUAAAGAAUUAAAAGGGAGGGACUAUAGCUACGGUUAGUGCUGAAUGCUGCUACUAUUGCGCCCUAUGAACUCAGCAAAUAUUUAGCCUCAUAGCAACAAGAAGCUUUUUUUUUUUAAUUUCCAAUGUUAAAGGGUAGAUUGUAUCUGGCCACUGCAUGUUUGCACAAGUGUAGGGGAGGGCAUGAAAAGUCUUCACUGCUCUCAUUCAGUGGCUGGGAACAACUGUCCCUAACAGCAGGGACAACUGCUCCCUUCUAGUGCUCCUGAGGCACUAGCUACCCCAAAAGGGAGGGGGAAAAGAGGAGAUAGGGUUAAGUUCCCCAUCCCUGCACAUACAUGCAAGCAAGGGCAUGCUGCAGCCCCUUAAAGGCUGUAGUGGAGAUAUGCUGUCCCUGUAGAACAAUGGUGAGCUUUACAAGAUGUUUUUCCUACGUAAAGCACAAUGCCUCCUGUGCUCUCCCUGGGGAAAUAAAACUGUGCAAAGCCCUUUACGCAGGGUAGUGCCUAUCAGGUCCAGCAGCACUCUAGGACUGCAUUGGAAUGCACACUCAGGAGAGAGCUGAGCUCAAGUUGUGCUGGGGUCCAGCUGUAACUUUGGUAUUUCCUGAUGUUGCAGGGUUUUACUCUGAAGCCUGAACAUUCUUCUAACAGUUUUUUUAAAAAAUGAAUGAUGUUGUUAUACCUCCCCAACUGAGUAGAGCUAGCUGAAGCUCGAAAGGGGGUUCAGUCUAGAUGCACACCCAUAUGUUUGGAUGCAUAUCUGAACCUUGUCUGAACUGUCCACACUGCUUGUACUGGAAAAACUAGGCUAUAAGCGUGAUGAGAAUAGGCUUUCAUGCAAGAUGUUUAGUAUACAUUUGGGACAGAAAUAUUGCAAAACCAGCCUAUGUGGUCCUGCUGCCUUCAGUCUUGAGUGAAAUUAUUAAAAACAGAGGUGCAGAAAAUAAAAAUAGUGGGUGAGUGAAGGGAAGUUAAUCUCUGUUUUUCCAACCCCAAUAAAAGUUAGAUUAGGGUUUAGUUUAGGCUUUGAUUCAAAUUUUAGUGGUGGUUGUGAUCGAGGAAAGAAUGUUUUUGUUUUAAUUGAAUUGGUUCAUCCAUCCUUGACAUGCUUAUGGUUAAGUGUGUGUCCACUUCUAUGAUGCAAUGUAAAAAAAAGUCUGUACUUCUUCUUUAAGAGCUAUCCUUUCUGAGAAAAUUAGGGCUGACUAUAAUAGCCUGUCUCUACUGUAUUCAAGAGAAUGUGGCAUAAAACCAGUAGGAAGAGAGAGGAUUUUUCCAAAAAUGUGCUUCUGUGGUGAGUCUUGCUCCUCAUUGUCAUCAAAAGCAGGUGUAUCAUCUAUGUCUGUUGCCUGGGUAUGUUUCUGAUUGUUAAUUAAGCAAAUAUAUUAGUAAAAUACAAAUACUGGGUGACACUGAAUUUUAGCCAAGAGUUCUAUCCUUCCUCUGCACACUGGGGAUUUCUUCUCUAGUACUCCUGAUUCAGAUUAUUUUAUUUCUUAGUGGCACCAUAAUCAGUGGAAUUAUUUCAAUUUGUUUUCCCAUUACAAAAGUUUCAGUGUCAGUUAAUAAGUGGUCAGGAAAACAAAGACCGUGUUUAUGGAACAAAAUCCUCCCUUUUUUGUUGAAUGGUAAAUUAAUAAAUGGUAAUUAAAGAUAAUUGGUAAUUGUAAUUAAUGGUAAUGGUAAUUAAUGGUAAAUUAAUUUAGGGCUCUAGCUAAAAAACUGUAGCUAAAAAUCCAGACUCCACUCUGGCCUGAGUGAUCUUGGGAGAUGCACAGUGGACAGGUGGGGAGAAAUUUCCCUCUCAGGCCACAGUAUAACUUUGGCAUUGCUCCAUGAAUCUACGUCAGCCCAGUGAGUGACAUUGCCUAUGAGGGGCACUCACACUGCAUCCCCAGUCAGAUACAGUUCUCCUGGCCUCACCCUGUUCUCAGACUGCCCAUGCUCUGUCCCAUCCCACUCUCUUCAUGCUGUUGCACAGACAGUAUCUUGCUCACAUUCGGCUUGUCUUGAACAGCAGAAUGAUUCCACAGCACAGAGGCCCUUGGCAGUUGUAGAGGAGAGGCCUGGAUUUACACAUUAACAUACUAAGGACUAAAUUCAGUCCUGAGUUAAAGACCCAUGAUGCUUCACUGAAACCAUUGGGGUAGCAUGGAAUGACUAUCAGGGCCAAAUUUUCCCUAACAAUCUGAGUUACACAUACAUACACUUUGAUCUUCUCAAAAAGCAUGUAAGUAAGAACUGACCUUUCUAUGUCAGUUGUGAAAAAGCAUAUUGGCUGGGUUUAGAGAGGUGUACAAACUAGAAAGCUGGACAUAGACAAAUGUGCAUUUUUUCCUAAAAACACAUUUACAGCUGGAAUUCUACACAGCAUUAUAGUUAGAGGAAGUAGAUGCGAUUAUAGUGUUCAGUGGCAAUAUCUGUUAAGCUCCUUCCUAACACAUAAUGGGAUGUGAGGCCAUUGAUUUUAGUAGUCCCCAAAACAUUAUUUCCAUUGAAAUGCCUGCUCUUGAAAAGUUGCAGUCCUUCAUGUAUAUGGUGCACAAACGACAGAGAGUUGUGUUGUGGCUCCUUUAAACUGUAUUAAAGUGUCUGUAAAAUAGGCACAAUGUCCCUCCACUUUUAGGAGUACCCCUGGCAUAUGAGGUCUCUCAGCCAGACAUAGAACCAGUUUAGCCACCUCUAUGCCCUCUGCAGGCAGGGCAUUUCUGUGCCCCAGCUAUUCUCUGGUAGUGCCAUGGCCCACAGGAAGACCUUAACAGCUGGAGCACUAGCUAAGGCAGCCUUCAGUAAGGCUAUGUCUACACUACAACCUAUGUCGGCAUAACCUAUGUCACUCAGGGAUGUGAAUAAACCACCUCCUUAAGCAACAUAAGUUACACUGACUCGUGUGCACAGCGCUAUGUCCGCAGGCGAGCUUACGCUACUCAUGGAGAUGCUUUUUUUAUGCUGACGGGAGAGCUCUCUCCCAUUGGCAUAGAGCGUCUUCAUCAGACGGGCUGCAGCUGUAUUACCACGGCAGUGCACUACGUAUAGACAGACCCUAAAACUUGCUCAGUAGAACUUAAUCAGCAAAUCUGAGCACUGAAGGCUGAAGUGACCCCCAAUAGCUCCAGGAUAGGGGAGGUGCAAGCUGCCCUUUCCUUCAUUGUAUUUGUUUAUGGCUUUGAAGAAGCGUAUGGAUAUUGGAGAGGACAAAUGUGCUUAAUGAACCUGCUUUGUGGUGAUAGUGAAAAACUUGGAGACACUCCUACAGUUUUGUCCACUUUGGACUCAAUUCUGUCAUUUGUACUCACAUUAAGUAGUACUCUACAAGUAGUCCCAUUUUUUUCAAUAGGCCUGCUUGCAAAAAUAGGCCUUGAUCCUACAAACAUUCACCUGAGUGCUUAACUUAGAUCCAUUCAUGGGGCCUAGACACAUGCUGAAAACUAAAAGGUGCACAAGUGUUUUCAGGAUCAGGGCUUUCGAACUUAUUCAAGCCUCAGUGGAAGCGAAGUUGGCAGAAUACGGUGGAGUGGGGUGAGAAAAUUAGUGAACACAAAAUCAUGAUAUUUACUCAGUUUAUGCAUUUUCUACUUUUUUCAUGAAAACCUGCAUACAAAACAGGCACGUAAUUGUUUUGCUAAGUGAGCCUUGAAAGUAAGAGUCUUGAUAGCUGUUAAGUAUCUCCUUUCUAGUACAGUAUGUUGUCCUUAUAAGCUAAUCAGUACAACUUGCUCAGUAGAACUUAAUCAGCAGAACUGAGCACAUUGUCAGUGCUUAACAAAUAAAAGAAUGAUGAUAAUAAUAAUAAUAACAUGAGCUCCUUUUAACACAACCUAUCAGACUUUUGCUUUAUUUCGAGGAGGGCUUUACUUGCCUUUAGUUAACUUAAGAAUUAAUAUUUAUUACAGCUCCAUUUACAACAGCCAAGAGGAAUUUGAGUAGGAAGGAAAAUAUUGAUGAAAAUGAAAUUUUGACAAAUAUCAGAAAUGAAAUUCAGAGAAAAUUCUCAUGUUGUUUCACCCAUCAACCAACAGUGCAUUUAGUAUAAGGUUAUGAAAGAACAAUACUUUUCAUACAAGUAAGUGUCCAAAUUAUUGCUAAUAAAAAUGGAUCUGGACAAUUGUUUGAAAUGUAAAACACUAUAUUUAUAUGUGAUUGUUAUUAGGAUUACUUUUGAUCUCCUGCUAUUCUCUUCUUUAAAAGUUAGAUUUGUUAGCUUUUCCUUAGAAUGUUGUGACUUAUGUAUGUUAUAAGAGAGGGAUUGGAUGUCUCAGAGAAUUGGUAAUGGAUCCAGAGCCAUUCACUUCUGCAUUACACCUCUAAUUUAACACAGGCUGGCAGUGACUGAAAGUUAAUCUAAUGGCUGUUUGGUGGUUUAUGUGAAAUCGAUUCGUGGUUUACACGCAGUUCCAACAGGACAAGAAUCCACAUUGUAAAAAAAUCUCUGGGCCAGAUUCUUGGCUGCUGUUAAUCAUUGCAGCUCCAGUGAUUUCAAUGGAGCAAUGGUAAUUUACACCAAUAAAUGGCCGUCUAUCACAGCUGGCACUAGUUAACGUGUGUUGUCAGGCUCAAUAAAGAUGACAAUGAUUCAGUGAGGAGGAAGAUUAUGGGCAGAUUCUCAGCUGGUGUAAACCAGUGUCAUACCAUUGAAGUUAAGGUAACUAUUCUGAUUUACCAGCUGAGGCUCGAGCACUAAAUGCCUAUAGGUGGACAUGUCAGGUCAAAUUUGAGCCACAGUUAAGAGUUGCUUGCACCACUGAUGUUGCGCUGUACUGGGUGUUUGACUAUAAAGAGAACCUUAAUAUUCAGGGCUGUCAAUGAGUGUUAACUUACAAGCAACAAAAUGUACUGAUUUAACUUAAAAUCUUGUGGAAAAAAAUCUAGGGACUAAUUCUACUUCCACUGAAGUCUGAUGUGUGUGAGAUAUUGUGGUAAAAUAUAAGUGAAAGUCCUAAGUAAGUGUUAUGAGAACUGUCCUUUUCUUGAUAUGUGUACAUUGUCCUAACAAAUACUUGAAUGUGAGUUGCAUAUGUGUGAUAAGGAGAGAAGAGGUCCCUAUGAACACAAACAAACUCUGCUCAUGAAAAGCAGCAGUAUUUUGCAGUGGUAGCCACAAAUGCUGCAAUACCACUCCUGGGGUGAACACAUAUUUAUUAAAUAACCAUUUAAUGUGAAACAAUAUUGUUACCUAGAUUUUAAGCUCUCCAACGAAGGGGCUUUUGGUCCAGAUUUUAAAAGAUAUUUAGGUGCCUAAAGAUGCAGAUAGGCAUCUAAUGGGAUUUUCAAAGCAGGAUUGCUGCUUCACAGUUGGGGAAUAUGAUCCCUUAUUCCUUAUACUCAUAUUUGUCUUUAAAAACAACUAGCACAUAUUUGAUUAUAUAUAUAUUAUAAAUAUAUUAAAUAACAGCAGGGGUUCUAAGAAGGACUAUACAAGUAAUCUAAUAACGUGUGUACUACUGAGGACCCUUGACACAUACAUACAAAUUCUUAUGAAUGAAUAUUGUAUUGUGAUACCCUAACUAUAUGAAUUGCAGAUUGAGUCCUCUGUAAGCUAUUCUUAGUGGUGUCAUUCAAUGGAAAUAGGGAAAAUCCAGAGAACAGGAAGCUCCUCAAACACAACACAAGUGGAUCAUUUCCAAUCAUCAUCAGGUGGGAGUGGGAAGGAUUGAAAACUUGCACAAGAGUGCAUGCCCUCUGAGAGUGUCAGAGUCUGUUCUGUUGUGGACUAUCCCUACUGCAGGAUUUUGAUGAUGGGUAGUUUUGGGAAGGAGCAGGAGUAGGGAGUGGUUGUGAUAGCACAGGGUAAGCAUUGGCAGUGGGUCUACCAUUGUGUAGAUUCACUGACCAUUGAUCCUUGAAGCAUAAGGAUACAGCAGCAGGGUUGGUACUUCACAGCUGGGGAGCAAGGGUCCUUUUCCCCAUUCUCAGUCUGAUCAUCAAGAUAGGUUACUCAGGUUUGGUACAGGAGAAAGGAUUUGGUUCAGAAUGAGUAACUGUAUAAAGUGCUUCUCAUGUAAAAUAUUAGCUUAAUUGCCUAGUAAAAAUAUAAUGAUUUUAAGAAAAGUCAGUAAAAACAUAUCCUCAAAGGACACACCAACCUGAAGAUUAUAGGAGAGUUUUAAUUAAAAUAGUAGGUAAAAAAAAGUGUGAUGCAAUAUUAUUAUUUCCUAACAUAUCAACAAAGUACAAAUGCCCAUUUUUAGUGCAAUUUUCUAAAUGAAAAAGUAAACAUUAAUAUCUUCAGAGAUCUUACUGAUCCAGUAUGAUAAUUUAGAAAAAUAUCUCUAUUAGGGGUAGUUAUAUAUGCUUUUUGUUGGAAAUGCAAUCACAGAAUGUGCACAUAACUGCAAUCUGUAGACAGAUUAAGUAAAUUAAAUCACUCAAUGUCUUUUUUCAAUAGCUCUAAAGUUAAAAGUAAUUUGCAAAGAAAAUACUCAGUUUCAAUUGGUUUGUAAUAUCUGCUAAUGAUCUUUGGAAAAAUUUCUGAUAACACACUGGAAUUCCCUCAGGGACAGGAUUUUGAAUAAGUGGAUUUUUUAAAAGUCUGAGAUGUCAUUAGCUAGUGAUUUCUUUGAAGUAAAAAGCUGUUAAAGAAUAAAUUGCAUAGGUAUACAAGUGAACAGGACAAUCAUUUUUAUGAAUAAUAUGCAUUUUUCCACUGUGCUUUCUGCCCAGAAAAGAAAUAAUUCAAAAUAUAAGCUGCUAACUGAUAUAAAUAUACAGGAAUCACAACAGUGUAAGCAUUUCGUGCUUAUUUUACGCAUGUAUUAAAUCUUUACAUAUAUUUAGAGACUGCUGGUGUAAAAACUCUAUUGUAGGGAACAGUUCUGAUCCUUUUCACUGGUUUUAUCUGGUAAACAAUUUCCUAAAACUAGAGGGCCCAUUAGUGGUGACUGCAUAACUCCUCUGAGCUGUCGCAGUUCUUCAGCAGCCCAGCUCCACCAUUUCCCUGGCAACAGUGUAUAAGACUCCUCCCCCAGUGCCAUAUAUGGCCUAUCGUGUGGUCAAGGGAAAAUGGUACCUCCUCUGUUGUUCCUGCAUAGAGAGAUGGUAAAGGGACCCAAGCGGUCUCCCUCAUUCAGCACCAAAGUCUGCUGACAUCUCCUAAAUAGAUUAGAUGGGAGCACUGGCCAGAAGCCCCCACCCCCACCCCAUGCAGAUAGUUGGGGAAAGAGGAACCACACAGGCACUAUCGACCCUCCAGCCCUCUCCGACUCACGAACACCUGUUUCAUCCAGGUGCUCACUGAGUUCUCCUCCAGUCCUUGGCCCUCUUUUUUCCUGCCCUGCAGUUCUGUGGGGGCUAUUACAGCACCCGGAUUGCUGCAGCCUUUGUGACUCCUGUGCAGGGACAGAAAGGAGACAGGAUAUGCACAACUGUGGUGAAUGGGAUGCAGAGAAAUACUCUGCCUAAGUUCUCUAGUCUUUUCUGGGCCUCUGCAGUUCCUGUAUACAAUGGCUUCAGACCUGCACUAGCCUGUCCAUCGUCAGUCAGAUCAGAUGGCUGUUGACCUUCCAUACACAGGACUUCUGUGCCACUGAACAUUUGUUUGAGGAAUAUUGGAACCUAUUGAUUGCUAUACCUGAUCAGACCAAUGGUCCAUCGAGUAUGGUAUUUUGAUUCUGACAAAGGCCAAAACCUGAUGUUUCAGAAGCAGCUUAUCCCUCCGCAUAAUGCACCUAAUUGUGCAAUGCUUUUUCAUGAGGACAAUCUCUUCCUGACCCCAAUUUGUGACUAAAGGCAAUGGGACUUGUGUGACUAAGUCACUCACAUUUUUGAAAAUCCCACCCAAAAUGUGAAAACAACAGCACAAAAAGAAGUAACUUGCCCAGGGUCACUUAUCAGGUUUGUGACAGAGUUGAUUCACGGCAGGGGCUCUGGGAGGUGAAAGUCCUCCCAGAGAUAAGGCUGUAGUGAUGCAGAGUAUCUGCUUUAUAGCUGGCCCAUAGCUGUGCAGAGCAGCCACAAGAAUGGUUAGGGUUCAGUGCAUCUCUGGCAACAGAGGUCUUAUGAAGCACUGGUCACAAGCAGUUCUCCAGAUGGAACCGUCCUGGUGCAAAUAUUAUUUGCACCCCCAUGGGGUAGCUCUCCCCCGCAGCAUAGUCCUUGUGUUUUUAAUCUCUUCUCAUGAAAUUCCCCUCCCCUUUGCCUUUCAUCAUUUUUAUUGCCAUUCUCUGGACUUUUUUUUAUUUCUGCUAUCUCUUUUCAGGGAUGAGGUGACCAAUCUUUAGUAUUCAAAGCGAGGAUGUGCCACUGAUUUAUAUAAUGGCAUUUUAAUAUUUUCCAUAUUAUUCUCUAAAACUGUUCUUCCUACAACCCCCAUAAGAUUCUCUUUUUAAUUCUUUGAACUACACUGCCUUUUAACAUCUGUAGUUUACUCUGAUCAGAUUUUGACAAAGGAAUAAAAGGCUUCAUUUUUCACAUAGGAUUUUAUUUAUUGUGUGAACUGUAGAGAAGAAAUUGGUUAACUUACCAUUUAAAAUUCAUGGCAAUAUAGUUACAAUUGGGCAAAAAUUUCAUUAUCAACCCUUAUUUUAGUGACAUAUAUUUCCUGUAAAAAUGUAAGCGAGGAUGAAAGUUGGUAUAUAACAUCUCAGCUCAAGAGUGUGUUUUGUGCAUGUAUAUUUUGUCAUAUACAUACAUCACUAGACCGUGUGCAUGUAAAUUAGGCCAAAUUGAGUCCCCUGUAUGUGCUUACUAUACUUAUUGUUUUUUAAAAAGGUCUAUACUACAUACCUAUCUAUUCAGUUAACCAGAAAUAUAGUUGAAUCCUGAUCAGUGGAUAAACUCAUUACAGCAACAUUUUAUUUUCCCACCAGCUGCAUUCCUGCUGUAAGAGGUAUUCAAAUAAGAGGGCUCUAACAUCUUAUGAAAUAUCUUUUGGUUUAAUAUCUAGAAAACAUUCAUUUAACUCUUCUGUAACUGAAUCAAAUUUUCCCUGAAAUGUAUUUUUAGGUGCAUUGGAAGUUUCUUUUUUUCUGGUCUCUAGCUCCCUUACAUGUAUUUCUGAAAAUACGUGCUUAUUUAUCUGAGAGGUUCCAAAGGUAAAUGCAUCUUUCCCCACAAGCAUAAACAUGGGUUAAAAUAUCUUUACAGUACUGAGGAAGUUGUUCUGGUUUGUUGGGUAAGUAAUAGACUCAUUAAAAUCAUUUGGGAAUGAUUGGGUUUUUCCUUUUUAAAACAGUUCAAACAGGAAACAAAGACAUCGACACUCACAAAGACAGGGAGGGCUCAUUCCAACUCCCACUGGAAACAUCCAUUGACUAUAGUGGAAGUUGGAUUGGGCCCAGAGAAAAUAAAUACAUUUGAGGUAACAAUGAGUUUGUGGCACAAGCCAGGAAAAUUACAGACUCACAUAAAUUAGCAAUGUGCAAACCUUUAGGACAUCCAGUCCAGCUCCUUGCCAAUGCAAGAUUGUGUCCUAUGGCAUAUUUUCUAGUGUUUUGUACAUCUAGAUUAAAUGUCCCAAGUGAUGGCGCUUCCCUAGGGAAACUAUUUCACUGCCUAAUGGAUCUUGCUGUCAAUUUUUUCCCCUUUCUUAAUGUCAUCCCAUUACUUCUAGUUAUGUUCCCUUGAACCUCCUUAAAUAAUUCCUUUCCUUCCUUGGAGUUAUUUCCUUCAAGUAUCUUUAGACUACUAUAAUGUUCCUCUUAGUUGUCAGUUAGCCAAGCUGUGUAUACAUAUUUAGCUCAUUUAAUCUUUCCUGAUAAAUCAAUCCCUUCUGUCCCUUGGUUAUUUUUCUUGCUCUUCUUUCAGCACCCUCUAGAUUGUCAGUGUCUUUUUGGUGACGAGGUGUCUUGAGGUGCUGAAUUAAGGAUUGAUUUUGCAUGGUGCUGAGCACCAACUGUCUUUGAUUUAUACACUCUGACACUUUGGUGGUGACUGUCCUAAAAUUCCUAUACAGGCAGACAGACUGACAGAGAACCUUUUUCAAGAUCAUUCCCUUACCUUCACUUUUUCUUAUUCUGUUGGUCACUAUAACCUAUAGUCAGGAGUGCAAGUAGGGAGGUGCCCUCCAGUAUGCAGUACCGGCAAGAGAUUUUUAGCGGGUAUGGGGUACCGGAAAGACUCAGGGCUAGCUCCCCUCUCUGGAGGGGGUGGAGGAAGUGCUGUGCUCUGCUUCUUAAAGGAGCAGAACACGGCUAGGGAGGGCAUUCAUUCUUUAAAUGGCUUUAACAGCACAAUACAUAUGCUAACAAACUUAAACAAAGGCUUUGUUUAAAUUUGUUAGCAUAUAUAUUGUGCUGGUAUGUUGGUCAGGAGUCCUCAAGAGGGGAGGGGUGGGGGGUGUUUAAACAGUGUUUCUGAUUCUGUUGCUCCCCAUUGGUCUGAAUUAUCCAUGACAUCCAUACUGCAUCACAUCAAGUCCAAAUCAUUAGAGGAAUGCCUCUGCCUGCACUGACCAGAGGAUGUUUGGAUUCUGAUGUCAGCCCAAUUCUGCAGUCUUACAGGAAUCAGGUGUUGUCCCCAGUGUACACAGAAUUCUUCUUUGCAGCCAAACUAGUCUAACAUGCUUUUUGUUAACUGGAACUGGAACAACAAAAUAAAGAAAACAAAUGCCUCAUUUUCCAGCUUUGUGUGUGAGAGAACUAUAAGUGAAGAUUUUAAUGCUGGACACUGAUGGCCUUAAACCAGCUACCUCAGGAAUCUGCCAAGAACUUUGCUGAAAAUAUGUUCAUCAUCUUAGCAACAGAGCUAAGACUUAUCACACAUCUGCCCACUUUUAUUCGAAUGAAGCGCCUUCUGAUCUGACAGCUCAGGCAUUGUCAGUUUCAUCCAGAACAAUUUACAAACUUGGAACCUAAUCCUGUAAACCCUUAAUCAUUUGCUCAGUCCCAUUGAAGACCAUGGGACUAUUUGCAUGACUAUGGACUACUUUUGUGGACUGGUAAGAGUUUCAGGAGUCUGUUCCUAUAAAGGAAGUUGAAUCCUCCAUUGAAAUGCAGUGUUUGUGUACAAUACCAUAGAGCAGUUUAGGAUACAGUUCUACUUAAAUUUUGUCUUUUAAUAAGUCAUACAUAUGCUGAAAUAGCUCCUCACCCAACUCCCAUAUUCCAUAUAAACAUACUGAAAUACUACAUAUUUGGGGGGAAAGUGAGUAGUUAAGCAUGUUGAUGUUUGUAUAUAAAAAGGGAGGUGUUGGAGGGGACAGGGAGAGCAUGGGGGCCCCGGGCUGGGGGCGGGGCAGGGAGGAAUCACAUGAAGGGUCACGUGGUGAGGUCACUUGCUCCCCCUUAUGUCCUUCCCAUGAGUGCAGUACUGGCAAGAAAUUAUUUCUACUUGCACCACUGCUUAUAGUAGGUGAAACAGUCAAUCCAACUGUUUUUAAAAAUAAAUGCACACCAUUAUGAUUUUCUUUUUUACACAAAGGCAUGAGAUAAAAAUGACAUGGACACAUUCAUUUUUGAAAAUGUCCAGCUUUUGGUGGUUUAUUUUAAAAUCUACAACUAUUGAACAUAUUAGCUUGUCUAGUAAAUAGGUGUAAGUGCUAGCAUAGUUUAUCGUAGACAAUAUGUUGCUAGUCAUAAGCCUAACAGUUCACUUCAGGCAAUAAAUCCUGAUCAACAAACAACACUUCUUUGGUGCUAAAAAAGAUCUUGGUUGUAAUUGAAUGUCUUUACCAGAGUAUUCUGUUGGAUUGAAGGAAUAUCAUUUUCAUCCACACUCUUUAAAUUUUCAUUAAGGAAAGCUUUGGCUACCUGCAGCCUCAUCUGGUCAUGUUUAAUGAUAUCUGCUAACUCCUUCUUCUUUGUACCAGCAGGGGCUUCUUUAAAUUGGUCAGCUGUGUGGAACAUUGCUUUCAAGAGUUAAUAUCUUUUGGAUCAGCCUUUUAAAAUAAUGGCUCCUAAUAAGUUCAUUUAUACCUACAGCUUAUUUAUCUCCUUCAAGCAAUUCAAACUGCUGUCAGCAUAGAAGAAAAUUACCAGUAAAAGUGAUGAUAGUACAACUUGUUUAACUUUAUCCUGUUUCACCUAAUACAAUUCAGAGAGAGAGAGUAUUGAUGAGAUAUUUCUGUUGGUUCAUUAUGCUGAAGCCAUCUUUCUAAGAGGUUGGGAUAAAUGUUCUUUGCUGAUUUGAUUAUGCUGCCUAUUGCAUUAUAUAUUUUUUGCAUAAAGUCUUGUUUCAUAUGGGGACUCCAUGGCCCAAACCAUUAAAAUAUUUAUAUGUGA